CCUACGGGACGCAGCAGUGGGGGAUAUUGCACAAUGGGGGGAACCCUGAUGCAGCGACGCCGCGUGGGUGAAGGAGCGUUUCGGCGCGUAAAGCCCUAUCGGCAGGGAAGAAGAUGACGGUACCUGACCAAGAAGCCCCGGCUAACUACGUGCCAGCAGCCGCGGUAAUACGUAGGGGGCAAGCGUUAUCCGGAAUUACUGGGUGUAAAGGGAGCGUAGACGGCUGUGCAAGUCUGGAGUGAAAGGCGGGGGCCCAACCCCCGGACUGCUCUGGGAACUGUAUGGGUG
rnacentral:rRNA from 1 species